AAAAGUUGUGUGAGUUUAGAAGUAUAUUAUUCAAUCCACCAAUAGCUGUACCAUCUCAUGGCACAGUUUUCCAGGGAUGAUCCUAGUUUUAGUUCUAAAACUGUAUUUCCUGGGAAACUCUUUCAUGGUGGAAAACUGGAAUGAGGUCUCCCCAGCUUGGUUCAUAGGCCUCUGGAGAGCCUGUGAUCCAGGACCACCUACCUAGGCUGCUCCCCAUCUGACUUCCAGCUGUUCUGUGAGAUGCUACAUCUUCUGUGCUGUGUGGUAAUUUGGGAAUAAUUUGUAACUCAGCACUCAGUAGCUGAUACACACUGCACAUUGCCUUGCACCCCUGCACCAGGAAGCGAUGUUCUGCCUUCUCCAAGAUCUGCAGAAGAAGAAAAAUAUAAGGGAAAGAAAUGCCAUCCAAUCUCAGACCUUCAGGCUGCUAACAGCGUCGCAGCCCAACCAGCCUGGCAGCCCACUUGGCACCUGCUGGAGAGCACCAGCUUCACCUGGGCACCUGAGGAUGAGUCUGAAGGAGAGGGAGAGGACAGGCAAGACUGUCUUCAUGGAUCAUCUCUUCUGA
rnacentral:lncRNA from 1 species